rnacentral:rRNA from 1 species
CCUUUCCGGGGAGAGGAGCAGUAGGGAAUCUUCGGCAAUGGACGAAAGUCUGACCGAGCAACGCCGCGUGAGUGAAGAAGGUUUUCGGAUCGUAAAACUCUGUUGUUAGAGAAGAACAAGGACGUUAGUAACUGAACGUCCCCUGACGGUAUCUAACCAGAAAGCCACGGCUAACUACGUGCCAGCAGCCGCGGUAAUACGUAGGUGGCAAGCGUUGUCCGGAUUUAUUGGGCGUAAAGCGAGCGCAGGCGGUUUCUUAAGUCUGAUGUGAAAGCCCCCGGCUCAACCGGGGAGGGUCAUUGGAAACUGGGAGACUUGAGUGCAGAAGAGGAGAGUGGAAUUCCAUGUGUAGCGGUGAAAUGCGUAGAUAUAUGGAGGAACACCAGUGGCGAAGGCGGCUCUCUGGUCUGUAACUGACGCUGAGGCUCGAAAGCGUGGGGAGCAAACAGGAUUAGAUACCCUGGUAGUCCACGCCGUAAACGAUGAGUGCUAAGUGUUGGAGGGUUUCCGCCCUUCAGUGCUGCAGCAAACGCAUAAGCACUCCGCCUGGGAGAACAAACGCAAAGG